rnacentral:rRNA from 1 species
AACCUGGCCUUCGGGCCUGGGGAAAGCGGCGAACGGGUGAGUAACACGUGGGUAACCCACCCUUGGUACUGGGAUAGCCCGGGGAAACCCGGAUUAAUACCGGAUGGCCCAACAGCUCUUCGGGGCGGUUGGAAAAGGUAGCUUCGGCCUCCGACCAAGGACGGGCCCGCGGCGGAUUAGCUUGUUGGUGGGGUAACGGCCUACCAAGGCGACGAUCCGUAGCUGGUCUGAGAGGACGAUCAGCCACACUGGGACUGAGACACGGCCCAGACUCCUACGGGAGGCAGCAGUGGGGAAUCUUGCGCAAUGGGCGAAAGCCUGACGCAGCGACGCCGCGUGGGGGAAGAAGGCUUUCGGGUUGUAAACCUCUUUCAGGAAGGACGAAGCCACUCGGGUUAAUAGCCCAGAGGGUGACGGUACUUCCAGAAGAAGCCCCGGCUAACUACGUGCCAGCAGCCGCGGUAAUACGUAGGGGGCAAGCGUUGUCCGGAUUUAUUGGGCGUAAAGAGCGUGUAGGCGGUUUGGUAGGUCCGCUGUGAAAACUCGAGGCUCAACCUCGAGACGCCGGUGGAAACCAUCAGACUAGAGUCCGGAAGAGGAGAGUGGAAUUCCUGGUGUAGCGGUGAAAUGCGCAGAUAUCAGGAAGAACACCCGUGGCUAAGGCGGCUCUCUAGUACGGUACUGACGCUGAGACGCGAAAGCGUGGGGAGCGAACAGGAUUAGAUACCCUGGUAGUCCACGCCGUAAACGAUGGGUGCUAGGUGUAGGGGGUGUCGACUCCCUCUGUGCCGAAGCUAACGCAUUAAGCA